rnacentral:rRNA from 1 species
CACGUAGGGUGCGAGCGUUGUCCGGAAUUAUUGGGCGUAAAGAGCUCGUAGGCGGUCCGUCACGUCGGAUGUGAAAUUCCAGGGCUCAACCCUGGACCUGCAUUCGAUACGGGCGGACUAGAGUUCGGUAGGGGAGACUGGAAUUCCUGGUGUAGCGGUGAAAUGCGCAGAUAUCAGGAGGAACACCGGUGGCGAAGGCGGGUCUCUGGGCAACAACUGACGCUGAGGAGCGAAAGCGUGGGGAGCGAACAGG